ensembl:snRNA U6 U6 spliceosomal RNA
GUACUCACUUCGGCAGCACAUAAACUAAAAUCGGAAUGAUACAGAGAAGUUUAGCAUGGCCCCUGAGCAAGGAUGACAUGCAAAUUCAUGAAGCGUUCCAUAUUUUU